CCGUGAGAUCGGGACCUGAGCCAAAGUCAGAUGCUUAACCGACUGAGUCACCCAGGCGCCCCUACAAUUUUCAUCUUUUUAGUAAAAGAUUCUAGGUUAAAAUAAAACAACCACUUUGCUAUGUAGACAAUGCAUUAAAGAAAGGCAAGGUGAAAGCAGAGAAGUAAAUCAUGAGAUGAUUUCAGAAAUCCAAGCAAGAGAUCACGAAAGGUAACAUUAGCAGGAAUGAGCUAAGUUGAUGUGUUUUUGAGUUACAAAUUGAAGAAUUUACUGAUAAACAGGAUAGGAAGGUGAAGAGAAGGGAGUGAUCAAGGAUGACGCCUGGUUUUGGUGCCUGAACUUCUGAGUGGUCAGUAGAAUCAUUUACUGAUACAAGGAAAACUGACGUAUAAUCCACUGAUGGGGAGGGGAUCGGGAGUGUUUGUACCCAGCCGUUCAAGUAGAGUCAAUAAAUUGACAACUGGGUAUAUGGGAUUAGAGCUUCUGGGAGAGGUCUUGUUUGGGAAUCAGCAGUCAGCUGAUUUUUAAAACCCUGGGACUAUAAAGGAACACGAAGAAAUAGAAAUAGGUCAGAAGCUAUCAAUUAGGAAGGAUAGUAUCAGAUUAGGUGUAUUUUUAAGACUGAAGGUGAUAGAUUAUCUUGUAGGUUGGGUCGCAGAACUGAUGCACUGGGGAUUCAGAAGAGCCCGAGACGCAAAGUGCAUGAAAAGAGGAGAGGAAAGGGCAACCAUAACACGGAGGGUGGAAGAGGGGGGAUUAACCGUCAGAAAGAUGUGGGAUAAAUCAUUUGUUGAGGCAGGAGGGAAAUGAACACAGAUGUAGUUAACUGCGCAGCAUUGGUCAAGGGAAGAUAAGGCAAUCCUGUCUGAUGGAACUUAGAAUAAAAUCUAAACUCCUUACCACAGCAUGAUCUAUUUCUGCAUAUCUCUUCAACUUCAUAUGUUGCCCCUUGUUCCUUAUUUAUUACUGCCCGGUCACAUUGGUCUUAUUUCAGUUCUCAAAAUGACGAAGAUCUGUCUUUCCUCAUAUGACUUACAACUUCCUCCCCACUUUCUUCAUGUGUAGGAUGAAAUGUCUCCUCCCCAUUACUCCCCCCUUGUUACUGUCUAACUCAGCCAUUGUUUAUUUCCUUCAAAACACUUACCUAACUAGCAAGUAUUUUUGUUGCUGUUGAUUUAAUAUUUGUCUGACUUCCCCACUAGAAUAUAAGCUCUGUAAGGGCAAAAAUGUUUUGUUUUGUUUUUUAAGUACUGUUAUAUCCAGCACUAGGCACAUGGUAGGCACUCAGUAAAUAUUUUUGAAUGAGUAAAUAAGUUUCACUGCUUGUGAAAAAAAAUUUACGUUUCUCCUAUCAAAAUGACAACCUUUCUCAAUAAGAGGUGCCCUCAUUAAUUUGAUAAUAAGCCAGUGUAGUUAGUUAGGCAAUAACCAUUAAUUAAGCAGUAGGCCAGUGGCCAAAGAAGGAUGGCAUAUGCUUGUGUUCUGAUAAUAACGAAUUUCGUAACUGUCUCUUGUGACAAAAUUCAACAACUAGCCUCCUCGGGGAUGUCUGUCUCCUCUUGUUCACUCCUUCUCAUCGUCCUCCCUGUACCAGGCGAUCUUCGAGAGCUCAUUCAAGACAGCUCAAGUUGCCUCCUACAGGAAGCCUUCCUGCAUCUCCCUACACCCCACAGCCCCCAAUUUCCCUUUGGCUCGGGCACACAGCGUAGGUACUCGGACAGGCUGCUAUUUCCCAGCCUCUCCCCAGACCAAAGCUCCAGGGGUGGUGGUGGUCCUCAUACUCUUAUUUUCUGUUUGCCACGGGGCCUGUGCUGCGCCUGGCACGGAGCCUGCGGUGAGUGCAGUGUUCGGGGAGGUGGCCUGAAUUUCUCCCUUUCCAGUGUUCUCCUCCAUUCCUCUUUUCCAGCUUUCAUCCAUUUCUUUUCCUCCUCCUCCCCCCUGCUCUUCUAGUGUCAUUUCAAAACAUUUCUCUUUUCCGUCUUCAGAGCAUAACAUGCCUUCUCUAGAAAAUUUGGCACAUUUGAAGAAUCACAUGUAAAAUAAAACGCUGCGAUUCCACAACCUGGAUGUUUUCUUUAAGCAAAGUUCUUUGCACUUCCUUCUCUCUGCACAUAUAUUUUCUUUGGAUAAUUCUCAUGUCUCUGUGUGUGCAAUUUUGUAUCUCAUUAUUUUUUUCUUUUCUUCAUAUUCUGUCAAGCAUGUUCACACAUCAAUAAAGUUGCUUUGUAAACACUGAAAAACAAUUCCAGAAUCUCAGUAUCUUAACAUCGUAGACUCUCCAGGGUCGCUGUCCUCCAAGUAGCGUCUUAGUGAUCCAGACUACUUCGAUCUUAUAACUCAGUUAUCCCAACAUGAGACACCACUUUCAAAGGGGAAGAGGAAAUCUAUGGCAUCACACAGCAGUUUUUCACUGCCUCAGCCGUCACUUCCACUCACAUUUCACUGGCUAGAACCUCUCACCUGGCCCCAUCAAAAUGCAGUGGGACUGGGAAGGAUAGUCUUCUUGGUGCCCAGGAAGGAAGGGAGGGCUGGAUGUUAAGGAGCAUGCAUCCCAAGGCUGCAUCCCAAGGUGCAUCCUUGGUGAUGCAUCCCAAGGAUGAGUUUCACUGCUUCCGAACUUGCUAGUGACAACAUUGAUAUUCCAUCUGUGUAAUGAGACUCCAUAAAAUACAUUCUUAGAGUAUAGUAGCCUCAGUGUAAUGUUUUGGGGGGAUGUUAAAUCAGUAGAUUUUCCUCCCUGAUAAUCUAUAGUUCUGGUGGGCCCAUCGUCACCCCACCGAUUGAACCAGUGGAAAUACUUGCAUCUUUGGAAGGAGCAAACCCGAUGAAAACAGGUUUGAAUUUCAAAAUAAGAGUUUUUGAAGUCCAUAUUGAGACAAUAGCCUGAAAGUAAGCACUUGCUAUUUUGGGAGGAGUCCAGCUUUGUUUGGGAGGAAAGAGGCUGAUAUAAACCAAGCCCAUAAGGCCACAAAAGAGAGUGUUUACAAUGAAUGAAUGAAAGAGUAAAUAGGACAAGGGUUUGGUGUAAGGAAAGUUCGUGCGCUGCAAGAAAGAGAAGCCCUUUGGGGGCUGAGAGGAAGAGUGAGAGGGUGAAGGGCAGAAGGUAAACGAGAUGUCAUUACUUCCUUCACACUCUAGAGUGUUGCAUAGGUAAGGGACAGGGGCCUCAAGGAUAGGAGAGAAGUAGAAACAAACAGACGAUGAAAUCAAGAGCAGCAAGGAUGUCACCUUACGUCUCCUGUGUAAGGAAUGGAAAGCAGAAAAUGGUGUGGGGCAGCAGCACUGUUUUUUUUGCAACAUGUAAUAGAGAAUAUUUGUCUCUUUAAUCUGUUUGCAUAUUUAACUUUCCAAAAAAUGCAACACGUAUGCAAAAAAAGAAAAUUACUCAUUUGUCACAUAUGGGUAUGUAAAUUUUGUCCACAUAGCAGCAAAAUUUUUAAAGAGAAAUAGGGAAACUAUUAAACGUUUUGUCUCGAGUUACUCCCUAGGUAAGCCCUCUCUCUCAUCCCAAAUACUGCUGUUCGUGUUUCCAUCAGUUGCCAGUUCUCUGAUACCGUUCACAGCUAUUUAAAUAACUACUGCCCCUUGCCACUAGUGUCUCUCCUAGACGAGAGUCGCUUUACUUGGGUAAGAUAACUUCUAAGAAUAAAGUAUCAGAAUUAUUUUGAAAAAAAAUGAAUAGAAGUAAGUAUUUUGGGAAAGCUGAAAAUUAUGAGUAUCUGAACACUGAGGGCAUGUUUCAAGACUCCUAUUUUCACUAAAAUCCAAUCUUUGUUUAAGCAUUUCAACUUGAGCAGGGAACACCAUCACCCCGUCACCCUGACUUUUCUGUGAAUUUGCUUUUACAGCUACACAAGAAUGUGUGUCUCGUCUGUUCCCUGCAGCAUUCAUUAGCUCUGUUCCAGAUUCAGGGAGCAGUCAAGGUCUUGAUUCUACUCUCACAGAGGAUGGUUUAUAAGAAGAGAACAGUUAAGGGAAGGCCUAAAAGGGCAGUGGUGCAACAGACCUAAAGAGUAGCCAGCCCAGACUGAAGCAGGAGGAUGAAGGCCUCCAGAAGGAAGGUCCCAAAGAGAAAAAAAAAGAAGGAAAGAUUGGUGGGAUUAGACACAAUACCUGAUAUGAUGGAGCUUUCAGAAAAAAGUAUAUCAGGAAGAAGAAAAGAAUGGCAGUGAUACUCUAAGAAAAAAGACUGAGCAAGUAAGGAAAUACAUCGUGGUGCAUAGCUUUGUAUGCUAUUAACAAAUUUCACACUCGUAAUAAACCCUAAUUUGUUUAAGAUUUUAUUCGUAAGAAAUCUCUACACCCAACAUGGGGCUCAAACUUAACCCCAAGAUCAAGACUUGCACGCUCUACCGACUGAGCCAGCCAGGUACCCCUAAACGCUAAUUUUUGAAGGUGAUGUCCACCAUUUUUCUUCCUGGAAAAGUCAUUUUCUCUUUGUAAUUAACAAGUAAUUUGUGGGACUAUACUUUGAGACUGUAUAAAUAUAUUGUUCCUCCUUAAA